UACGUAGGCAGCGAGCGUUGUUCGGAGUUACUGGGCGUAAAGAGUGCGUAGGCGGUUUUCUAAGUUUGGUGUGAAAUCUCCCGGCUCAACUGGGAGGGUGCGCCGAAGACUGGAAGGCUUGAGUAUGGGAGAGGUAAGCGGAAUUCCUGGUGUAGCGGUGAAAUGCGUAGAUAUCAGGAGGAACACCGGUGGCGAAGGCGGAUCUCUGGGCCUUACCUGACGCUGAGGCGCGAAAGCUAGGGGAGCGAACAGG
rnacentral:rRNA from 1 species